UAGAGUGCCCAGAGUGUGGAAAAUAAUGCCAUUCCUAUUUCCCCUCAAUUGCAUUUAGCAAGAUGACAGUCAUAUUCACUCCAAGAGUAUGGAAGAACUACUGACCUCUCUACUUGCAAAUGGCUUGAUGCGAGCAAUCAGAGAAAUAUAUUUUAGUUUUCAUGUACUGUUAUCAUUAAACCACAAAUAUUGAUACAUCUCAGUUGACAUUUUAAAAAUCUCUCAGAAAAGUACUGACAUUAUGGAUCAUUGAACGAACAAAAUGCAAGUAUGGAUGCACUUACCUUGAGUUUAGGAUAAGGGGCCUGGAGUUUUUCGUUCGCUUCUCCCGGGGUGGGUCCGCAGGGUUACUCAUAAAUAAUUUGUGUUUACUGUAUGAUACUAUUACAUGCUAUUGUAUUUUGGUAUUUUUGUUUCCUUUGUUCAGAUUAUUAUUAACGCUAAUUCUGCUGAAAUCUCUAAUGCAUUAUGCUCUAUUGUUUUUGUUUUUGUUUUUGUAUCUGAUGCUAUUGUAUUUUGGUGUUUUUCCUCUAAUCCUAUGAGCCGAGGGUCGAUUGGAAACAGCCUCCCUGCCCUUUCGGGUAGGGGUAAGGCUCGUCUACAUAUUACCCUCCCCAGAUAGUUUUCAUGUACUGCUAUCAUUAAACCACAAAUAUUGAUACAUCUCAGUCGACAUUUUAAAAAUCUCUCAGAAAAGUACUGACGUUAUGGAUCAUUGAACGAACAAAAUGCAAGUACGGAUGCACUUACCUUAAGACGUUUGUCAAAGUUCAGACAUGGCUGAAAAGAUUGUCGAUGAGUGUCAAUCAAUCUAUUCUAACAAAUUUAUCAAUUGCAACACAGUAAUUUAAUCAAUUAAUGUUUAUUCAAAGAAUCUGGAGCUAUAGAGACCCAAUCCUGAAGCUAAACUUGACAUGUGUGUACUUCUAUCAACUAAACAAUGUCCUACUUCUCUAAAAGAAUAUAGAGAGUAAGGUAGUAGAUCCAAUAAGCAAAAGAUUACCUUUUACUAGAAUGUCGUAUGCCUAUGUAUAACCUGAUAUAUUAAGCUAAAGAAAAUAAGUCUCACUAAAACGUCCAUGCCAUUUUGAUCUCACACAAUUUUGUUAGGGUAUAAAAGGAGAAACCAAAGACAAAAUGGAAAAUGACGGACUAACAUAAUGUAUCCAAAGGAAAUUAGAAACCAAAAUACUAACUGAUGACACUAGAUUAUUGCUUUUCAAUAAAAAUUUCACUAGUUUUUUUAAAAUUCUAUCUCCCUUAUAGUGUCUGCAACAAAUACCAUAUCAUCCCACAGAUGUUUUGAUUUUUUAGAAUCAAAUUUUCAUUACGAACUCUACUUCACCCACAACUCUUUUUUCAGUCAACCAAAUUUCAACCACUAAUCAGACAAUUCCUUAAGAUAAACAAUAUAAAAUAGUUUUUCAAAAAAUAAAGGUAGCUAAGUGCAAGACAAGAGGGGUUGCUCUGAUGGUAAGCAACCCCCACUUCCAACCAAGAGGUUGUGAGUUNNNNNNNNNNNNNNNNNNNNNNNNNNNNNNNNNNNNNNNNNNNNNNNNNNNNNNNNNNNNNNNNNNNACUUCCAACCAAGAGGUUGUGAGUUCGAGUCUCCCCAAGAGCAAGGUGGGAAGUUCUUGGAGGGAAGGAUGCUGGGGGUCUAUUUGGAAACAGCCUCUCUGCCCAAACGUAGGGGUAAGGUCUGCGUACACACUAUCCUCCCCAGACCCCACUAAAUGGGAUUAUACUGGGCUGUUGUUAUUGUAAAGGUAGCUAAGUGCAAAUACGACACCUAUUUUUACAGAUCAAAGCAAAAUAACAUGGAACCCUAGAUCCAAAUCAAUACAUAAUGAAAAAGGAGAUUAAAACAGAAAGGACCUGGCCGAACUUUGUUUGAAGUUAGGAGUUGAGAUUACUGAAGCUGCGGCGGAGAAAAUCAAACUCCAUACGAGCUUCAUCAUAGACCAGAAGCUUCGCCAUUCCUUCUCGUGUUCGAAUCGAUGGCCACAACACCUAAUUUUACAGAUAAAAGAAAACUAACAAUGGAACCCUAGAUCCAAAUCAAUACAUAGUGAAAAAGGAGAUUAAAACGGAAAGGUCCUGGCCGAACUUUGUUUGAAGUUAGGAGUUGAGAUUACUGAAGCUGGGCGGAGAAAAUCAAUCUCCAUACGAG
rnacentral:lncRNA from 1 species